rnacentral:rRNA from 1 species
GAUGAACGCUGGCGGCGUGCCUAAUACAUGCAAGUCGAGCGAACAGACGAGGAGCUUGCUCCUCUGACGUUAGCGGCGGACGGGUGAGUAACACGUGGAUAACCUACCUAUAAGACUGGGAUAACUUCGGGAAACCGGAGCUAAUACCGGAUAAUAUAUUGAACCGCAUGGUUCAAUAGUGAAAGACGGUUUUGCUGUCACUUAUAGAUGGAUCCGCGCCGCAUUAGCUAGUUGAUAAGGUAACGGCUUACCAAGGCAACGAUGCGUAGCCGACCUGAGAGAGUGAUCGGCCACACUGGAACUGAGACACGGUCCAGACUCCUACGGGAGGCAGCAGUAGGGAAUCUUCCGCAAUGGGCGAAAGCCUGACGGAGCAACGCCGCGUGAGUGAUGAAGGUCUUCGGAUCGUAAAACUCUGUUAUUAGGGAAGAACAAAUGUGUAAGUAACUAUGCACGUCUUGACGGUACCUAAUCAGAAAGCCACGGCUAACUACGUG